rnacentral:rRNA from 1 species
GAUGAACGCUGGCGGCAUGCCUAAUACAUGCAAGUCGAACGAGCUCUUCGGAGCUAGUGGCGGACGGGUGAGUAACACGUUGGUACCUACCCCGAAGUGGGGAAUAACUGCCCGAAAGGGUGGCUAAUACCGCAUAAUACCGUAAGGUUAAAGCAGUAAUGCGCUUCGGGAGGGGCCUGCGUCCCAUUAGCUAGUUGGCGGGGUAAAUGCCCACCAAGGCGACGAUGGGUAGCUGGAUCGAGAGGUUGACCAGCCACACUGGGACUGAGAUACGGCCCAGACUCCUACGGGAGGCAGCAGUAAGGAAUCUUCCACAAUGGACGAAAGUCUGAUGGAGCAAUGCCGCGUGCAGGAUGACGGCCUUCGGGUUGUAAACUGCUUUUAUAUGGGAAGAUUAUGACGGUACCAUAUGAAUAAGGACCGGCUAACUACGUGCCAGCCGCCGCUGUAA